CCGGCCGCGGGCCCCGGCCCCGCCGUGGUAAGAAAGAGGCGGGGCGGGAACGGGAGACACCUCCCCGCCCCCGGUCACUGUAAAUGGGGCUGGAUUUGAACAUCUAGAUGUAGCUGUCUCCGUUUUACACGUCGAGUACCAAGAGGCUGAUACGACAAAACAGCUGCUGCUCAGGAGCUAUGGAUCCUUCCUGUAGUUGGGUUACUCAGCAACAGUGUGAUCAUCAGCACUAGUUUGGUUUUGGCAGCUUUUUGAUAUGGACAUAUUAUGAAGAUGGAAAACCAAUGGACUACAAAGUAUAUUUACCAUGGACUGCUAUUACAAGGCCAGCAAUUAAAGUGUCACAAAAAGCUUGGGUGGUGUGAUAAUAUCAUCAGUGAUGGACAUACACUGAAUAUCUGACCAAUGACAGGUUAAUGACCUAGCUAGACAUUGAUCAUGAUGGUGCUCAAUCUGCAAGGAUGGUAUGUCUCUGGGAUUUGCCAUGAUGAUUAUAAUGAUGAUUGAUGAAAGGUGCACAUAUAUUUAAACGUAGUCCCAUUUAAAAAAAAAGGCAAUUCUGUAGCUCUUCCUUAAUAUAUGUUACUAUGGUACUUUGCACAGUGCUUCACAUACCAGUGUUUGGUUAAACAUUAACUAUUACACUAGACAGAAAGUGAAUAACCUUCAGAGACUCACUUUUUUUAAAACAUUUCCAGUAGGUAGAUCUUAUGCUUAAAUUGAGAUUUUUAAGUGACAUAAUAUUAGUAUUGUGUUACUCAGAGCAUAACAUUGUAAACGUCUCCCACUUAAGUAGCAGUGGUGCACAUGACUGCUGGCCAUUUGGCAAGUAGCAAAGAAUUUAUCUGAUCCAGCUCAGUACAUUUAGUACCUUUUUGCAGAGAACAAUUAAAAGACCCAUUACAUUUUUUCUUUGGAAAUGGACAACUGUACUAACUUUCAGACUCUCAAUAAGGGCUGAAUUCUGUGAGGUUCUGAAUGCCCUCAUCUGCCAUUAAGCCAAAUCCUCAGCUAGUGUAAAAACUGAAGUCAGUGUAGCGACCGUGACUUGCACUGACACAGCAAGGCUGAAGUCAAUGUAGCUACACUGAUUUAUACCAGUGGAGGAUCUAACCCAUUUAUUCUCCAGUGGAUGGUGAGGGUGUUCAGCACAUCACAGGAGACAGCUAACACCCUGCAGGAUUAGGCCCUAAAAUAGUGAAAGUUGUAUGCCCAUUAGUGGCAGUAUACAAUGCUUGCUAUAUGGUGAAAAAGGCAGAGGUGACAGCACACAAGCAGCACCAUAUAUUGGCUAAUUAAUUGUGAGUGGCAUUGGUGUUAGCUUCAAAGCAGGACAGAUUAUCUGGGAGAGGGAAGCAUUACUGAAAUGGAAGACGACAAAAAUACAUGCAAACGUGUUACAGAAAAUAGAGCCAUGCUGCAACUCACUUUUCCAUGGGGAGGUGAAGUUAAGUACGGAUCUUAAAAACAAAUCAUGAUUAUAUCUGUGGGGAAAAAAGCAACUGCAUUCAUUUUUUGGCAGGUUUAGGAUGCUCUGAUGAUACAGAAGUAUGUUUGCAGUGUUGUUGUAACCAUGUUGGACCAACUUCUGUUAGUGAAAGAGACAAGCUCUGUGUAAGCUUGAAAGCUUCUCUCUUUCACCAACAGAAACUGGUCCAAUAAAAGAUAUUACCUCACCCACCUUGUCUCUCUAAUAUAGAAGUACGGCAGUUGAGCUUGGCCCAUUGAUAUUUCUUUUUAAAAAAGGAAUUUGUCUGAUUCCCUUUUCACUUGACCCAUAUAAGUCAGAAGUAACUUUUACAAAGUCAGUGAAGUUGCUGCUUUGGGGUAAAACUGGUGUGAGAUCAGAAUUGGAUCUUCAGAGUUUGAAGUGAGGCAGAGAACCAAAUAAGAGCCAAUCCUAUUUCUGUGAUACUGGAGAUUGCAAGUAGGAAAUGUGCAAUAUAAUUUGAGUUCAGCAUGUUUAGGCUGACUAGUUUGCACUCAAAUAGUGGAUGAAUCUUUUCAUCAGUAGAUCUCAAAGUCCUUUAAAAGAAGGAUGUUUACUGAUGGGGAAAAUAGUUAAUUUAUCAUUUCUAAAUCAUCCCUGACCGAUGGAAGUCAAGCGUAACUGUGAAUAUUUUCACUGAUGACAACUCCACCACUUUCCAUGCUUGCUUGCUCCAUUACUUAACUACCUUUAUAGGAUCAAAUUCAGGCAUUGCCAUGGUUUAUGAGGGUGCCAGCAUAAGCCCUAGCAAAAGCCCCACAAAAAGAAAACUUUGCCAGGGGAAUGCACUGACAGCUAGUGUACUCCAACAAUGGGGCGUUGCUUUCUGGAAAGCAUUUGUGUCCAGGGUGGCUGGGAGAUGCACUAAUUCAGCAAAGCUCUUGACCUUUGGUAGCCUCCUCUGGUGAAGCUCCAGUGGAGCCCUAGAUAUAAACUAAAGGCUUCACCACCCCAGAGCAGCGGCAGUAACAUUGUGUACUCUCCUUUAGGGCAAAUUCCCCUCUCACUCAACAGGGCUUGGUAGAACAAGGCUGCAUGAACCUCCUGCUUCAGUACUGGUGAAUCAGGCCCAUAUAACCUUUAAUACUCCCUACAGCAGCUUCAUUCCAUUAUCUUUUAGCCUGGCUUGUUACCAAAAGAAUGUAAGCAGCGUCUGAAUGAGCUCUCCCCGACAUCUAGUGAUGAGCUGGGGGAGAAGACUUCAGGAACCGACCCUAUUUGCAUAAGACAUGUCUAGUUGCACAACAUAAUGGAGCUGCUUUGCCCAAAUGAUCACUUUUGACUGGUGUUGGAUUGCAAGUCACUGUUAUUGGGGGGGCAGGGGUAAUAAAGCAUUGUUACCCUUGUGGUGUGAAUAAUGGGCAGCAGAAUGGUGUUUGUCAUGCCAUGAUUGAGGGACUCACCCUCAACUGAACUGCACUCCUUAGGCUGAGGGCAGGAAUGCCAAAGGCCAGGGGAGAUGAGAGAGGGUUGGGAUAGGUGUUUUUACCUGGUGACAUGGGCUCUGCCUAAAGGUCCUAGACAUCAUUUGAUCCUCCCCCCUCUCCAGUGUGUAAUGAAAGAGCUGAUUAAGACUCAAUUGAGAAUGGUUUGGUGCAGAUCAAUAGAGCUAAAAUCACUGAUAACUAGGUCUAAGCAUUAGACCUGCUAUGGGACAGUAUCUCUGAUUAAAGAGACUCCUCAGCCUGUGCUAGCUGUGAGGCUCCUGCACUAACAGCUGAAAUCACUGAAAGCUGUGUUAAGUGGUGGGACCUCAAGACAUCCCUGAGCAGACAGCGGUGGAGCGGUGAGUGGAUGGCAUGGUACAAGAGAUUUUUCAACUGCUCUGGUCUGUGCAAGGAAUAAGAGUGCUCCACUGCCACCACUAGCUGAAGCAGGGAGAGAUUGAAAUUAAACUUGUUUAAAAUAAUAAAAAAAUAGAGUGGUGACAGUGAACCAUAGUGUUAGGGUAUACUUAGACAUGAUAGUUUAUAAUUAUACAGGUUUAAUAAUUAAUAUAGAUGAUUUUAGAUGGUUAUGGCUACCAAUAACAAGAUGGUGGUGGCAAACAGUCAGAGUCAGAGAAAUCCAAAAUUGAGGUCUGGGAGAGAUUUGGCCAAUAAUAAGCAAGCAGGCUGAGGUGAAAUAGAGGUCACUCCAAAACCCUGAAGGGAGGAGUCAGUGAAGCAUAACACAGGUCUUCAAUCAGGUCUGGCUCCUAAGUAGGGUGACCAGACAGCAAAUGUGAAAAAUCGGGAUGGGGGUGGGGGGUAACAGGAGCCUAUAUAAGAAAAAGACCCAAAAAUCAGGACUGUUCCUAUAAAAUUGGGACAUCUGGUCACCCUACUCCUAAGGCACAGGUCUUCAAUCAAAUCCAGCUUUGAUUGACAGGGGUUAAACCUGAUUGGUGGGAAUGCUCAGGAUUGUAAAAAUCAGAAUAUGCCAAAAUCUGUAUAUAAGGCAGAGAGCUGACCAGCUUUAGUCCCGUGGUGGGCAACCUGCAGCCUGUAACCUAAUCCACUGGCGGGCCACGAGACAGUGUUUACAUUGACCGUCUGCAGGCACGGCCGCCCGCAGCUCCCAGUG